GGCCUAACACAUGCAAGUCGAGCGGAUGAAGAGAGCUUGCUCUCUGAUUCAGCGGCGGACGGGUGAGUAAUGCCUAGGAAUCUGCCUGGUAGUGGGGGACAACGUUUCGAAAGGAACGCUAAUACCGCAUACGUCCUACGGGAGAAAGUGGGGGAUCUUCGGACCUCACGCUAUCAGAUGAGCCUAGGUCGGAUUAGCUAGUUGGUGGGGUAACGGCUCACCAAGGCGACGAUCCGUAACUGGUCUGAGAGGAUGAUCAGUCACACUGGAACUGAGACACGGUCCAGACUCCUACGGGAGGCAGCAGUGGGGAAUAUUGGACAAUGGGCGAAAGCCUGAUCCAGCCAUGCCGCGUGUGUGAAGAAGGCCCUCGGGUCGUAAAGCACUUUAAGCUGGGAGGAAGGGUUGUAACCUAAUACGUUGCAGCUUUGACGUUACCAGCAGAAUAAGCACCGGCUAACUCUGUGCCAGCAGCCGCGGUAAUACAGAGGGUGCAAGCGUUAAUCGGAAUUACUGGGCGUAAAGCGCGCGUAGGUGGCUUGGUAAGUUGAAUGUGAAAUCCCCGGGCUCAACCUGGGAACUGCAUCCAAAACUGCCUGGCUAGAGUACGGUAGAGGGUGGUGGAAUUUCCUGUGUAGCGGUGAAAUGCGUAGAUAUAGGAAGGAACACCAGUGGCGAAGGCGACCACCCGGACUGAUACUGACACUGAGGUG
rnacentral:rRNA from 1 species